UGGGGAAUUUUGGACAAUGGGGGAAACCCUGAUCCAGCCAUCCCGCGUGUGCGAUGAAGGCCUUCGGGUUGUAAAGCACUUUUGGCAGGAAAGAAACGUCAUGGGUUAAUACCCCGUGAAACUGACGGUACCUGCAGAAUAAGCACCGGCUAACUACGUGCCAGCAGCCGCGGUAAUACGUAGGGUGCAAGCGUUAAUCGGAAUUACUGGGCGUAAAGCGUGCGCAGGCGGUUCGGAAAGAAAGAUGUGAAAUCCCAGAGCUCAACUUUGGAACUGCAUUUUUAACUACCGGGCUAGGGUGUGUCAGAGGGAGGUGGAAUUCCGCGUGUAGCAGUGAAAUGCGUAGAUAUGCGGAGGAACACGGAUGGCGAAGGCAGCCUCCUGGGAUAACACUGACGCUCAUGCACGAAGGCGUGGGGAGCAAACAGG
rnacentral:rRNA from 1 species